rnacentral:rRNA from 1 species
GAUGAACGCUGGCGGCGUGCCUAAUACAUGCAAGUCGAGCGAACAGACGAGGAGCUUGCUCCUCUGACGUUAGCGGCGGACGGGUGAGUAACACGUGGAUAACCUACCUAUAAGACUGGGAUAACUUCGGGAAACCGGCGCUAAUACCGGAUAAUAUAUUGAACCGCAUGGUUCAAUAGUGAAAUACGGUUUUGCUGUCACUUAUAGAUGGAUCCGCGCCGCUUUAGCUAGUUGGUAAGGUAACGGCUUACCAAGGCAACGAUGCGUAGCCGACCUGAGAGGGUGAUCGGCCACACUGGAGCUGAGACACGGUCCAGAAUCCUACGGGAGGCAGCAGAAGGGAAUCUUCCGCAAUGGGCGAAAGCCUGACAGAGCAACGCCACGUGAGUGAUGAAGGUCUUCGGAUCGUAAAACUCUGUUAUUGGGGAAGAACAAAUGUGUAAGUAACUAUGCACGUCUUGACGGUACCUAAUCAGAAAGCCACGGCUAACUACGUG